CCUACGGGAGGCAGCAGUGGGGAAUAUUGGACAAUGGGGGAAACCCUGAUGCAGCGACGCCGCGUGAGAGAAGAAGUAACUCGGUACGGAAAGCUCUAUCAGCAGGGAAGAAAUACUGACCUUACGGUCAGCAGACGGUACCUGAGUAAGAAGCCCCGGUUAACUAAGUGCCAGCAGCCGCGGUAAUACGUAGGGGUCAAGAGUGCUCCGGUUUUACUGGGUUGAAAGGGAGCGUAGGCGGGGCGGCAAGUCUGGAGUGAAAUGCCGCAGCUUAACUGAGGAACUGCUUUUGAAACUGGCGACCUAGAGUGCGGGAGGGGUAAGCGGAAUUCCUGGUGUAGCGGUGAAAUGCGUAGAUAUUAGGAGGAACUCCGGUGGCGAAGGCGGCUUACUGGACCGUAACUGACGUUGAGGCUCGAAAGCGUGGGGAGCAAACAGGAUUAGAUACCCUUGUAGUC
rnacentral:rRNA from 1 species